rnacentral:misc_RNA from 1 species
AAGUCGUAACAAGGUUUCCGUAGGUGAACCUGCGGAAGGAUCAUUAUUGAAUAAACCUGAUGUGGUUGUAGCUGGCUUUUCGAAGUAUGUGCUCACCCGUCAUCUUUAUCUCUCCACCUGUGCACCUUUUGUAGUCUUGGAUACCUCUCGAGGAAACUCGGAUUUGGGAUCGCUGUGCUGUACAAGUCGGCUUUCCUUGCAUUUCCAAGACUAUGUUUUUAUAUACACCAAAGAAUGUUUAAAGAAUGUCAUCAAUGGGAACUUGUUUCCUAUAAAAACUAUACAACUUUCAGCAACGGAUCUCUUGGCUCUC